rfam:Rattus norvegicus chromosome X, whole genome shotgun sequence.
GGGGAUUUAGCUCAAUGGUAGAGCGCUUGCCUAGCAAGCACAAGGCCCUGGGUUCGGUCCCCAGCUCCA